rnacentral:rRNA from 1 species
UACGUAGGUGGCAAGCGUUGUCCGGAAUUACUGGGCGUAAAGGGCGUGUAGGCGGUUUAUUAAGUCAGGCGUGAAAAGUCAGGGCUUAACCUUGAACAUGCGUUUGAGACUGAUAGACUUGAGGAACGGAGAGGGCAGUGGAAUUCCCAGUGUAGCGGUGAAAUGCGUAGAUAUUGGGAGGAACACCAGUGGCGAAGGCGACUGCCUGGACGACACCUGACGCUGAGGCGCGAAAGCCAGGGGAGCAAACGGG